rnacentral:SRP_RNA from 2 species
CCGUGCUAAACGGGGAGGUAGCGGUGCCCUGACCUCGGCGUAAAUGCUGGGUGACCUGCAAUCCGCUCUAGCAGGGUUGAAUUCCCGCGCCAGGCGAUUUGAGGCCGAUAGGCGCGCCGGGAAGUGGUGUUGAGCGUUAGGCCCGAGAUGACGGAUGCAGGUGAACCCCGCCAGGACCGGAAGGUAGCAACGGUAAGCCAUCGCGUUCCGGGUGUUGCGGGACCCUGGCGGGAGCUGCGGAACGGGAAGCGGUGUCAGUCGAGAAUUGACGAACGCGGGUGCACGG